UUUGGGCACUACACCAAAUUCCUUUGCAGUUCUAUGUUUAACUUGUGGCCAGUCUUAGCUAUAAUUACACCAUGGCAUGGAUGCAGAAAAAAUAUGUAUAUAUAUAUAUUAAAGGAACAAAUACCCUGGUACAAAAACAAGGAUGGGGUAAGGAAAGAAAUUUAGAAACAAUUUUCACCAUUUGCUUAACAUGUUGGAGAUCCUUCCCUGCCUGAUACAUUGGUUGCAGCACAGAGACAUCUGCUGUUAGCAAAAAAAAAAAAGAUUGUUUGUAGAGGUCUUCUAGGGGAAAUGAUUGUACCAUGCAAGUUCCAAAACCACCACAUUAUUAUUAAGUGGAAAACCCCCUUGCAGUAAGAGUUUGAAGUACCUGAGUCCAUCUCUGUGUCCAGCCAGCUCCUAAGGAC